GUGCUUGCUUCAGCAGCACAUACACUAAAACUGGAACAAUAUAGAGAAGAUUAGCAUGGCCCCUGCGUAAGGAUGACACGCAAAUUCGUGAAGCAUUCCAUAUUUUU
rnacentral:snRNA from 1 species